UACGUAGGGGGCAAGCGUUGUCCGGAUUCAUUGGGCGUAAAGAGCGUGUAGGCGGCCAGGUAGGUCGGUUGUGAAAACUGGAGGCUCAACCUUCAGAGGUCGACCGAAACCAUCUGGCUAGAGUCCGGGAGAGGAGAGUGGAAUUCCUGGUGUAGCGGUGGAAUGCGCAGAUAUCAGGAGGAACACCGAUGGCGAAGGCAGGUCACUGGGCCGCAACUGACGCUGAGGAGCGAAAGCAUGGGGAGCGAACAGG
rnacentral:rRNA from 1 species